UGCCCCCGUCUCAGAGCCCGCACGAGUGGUGGCUCCGGCGGCGCUGGGGUGAAUCUCCGCUGCUCUCCUUCGGACAGAGCGGCAAAACGCCCCGUCUGCCCUGGUGUACGUGUCCCGUGUAGUGUGCAGGGAAGGGAGACGGGCAUGGCAGCAGCUGGGGUGCGGAGGGUUAGGGUUGCAGGAGCUGUGGCAGGAUGCACCGGCGAGGCCUGAAUGCCUGCUUCCCCUGCAUGAAUGGCAACAGGUUGGUUAUAAGGCUGGCGGGACAGAAGGAAAGCCAGAGGAGCUGGAUGUUUUUUGUCUGCCUGAACUGUGGGAAAAGAGAGCACGGAAAUCUUAAGCGUGGUGAAAUUAAGGAACGUGAGCAGUGCUGUACUGCAGCCACCCUCAGCUGCAGAGCCUCCAGGAAGAGCAGCAAGGCAGCAGCUGAGCGCCGGGGUUGAACAUGGAAGACUGAGGUACAGGGAGGGGUCUGAGAAGCCCAGCACAGAAAGGCCAUCCAAAGUCCUUGAGAGUUGGCAGAAGGAAAGCAUAGAAUGAGAGGAGAGCGGUGAGCUCGAGCCUGAAAUUUGGAAAGGGAAAGGAAAUGAAGAUUAUAGUUUGUUGGUAAAAUGAUGGUAAUUGUUUUGUAGUCCCACUCGCCUAUUGUUUCUGAUGGUGAUGGAUCCAGGAGCCAAGGGGAAGCAGUGCAGGGCAGGUUCUGAGGGCCAUGGGGGUUAAUCCAGAAGAGAUUUGAUGUCCUCUCCCAGCCCGUUUGUCUUGCCUUCCAUGACCCAUAUCAGCAUUUCCUCUGUAGGAACAUCAGUGUUGAGCUGUCAGGCGGCGGUGAGGAUGAAAGGAGCCCCUUGCGGCUUCUGGCAUUCCAUCUUCCUCUCUGGCCUGGGCAUUGGCAGGAACAUGCUGCAGGACCUCAGAAGAACCUGAAAGCGUGCGUUAAGAAAUUGGAAGUUUGCUCAAAGGCGGUUUUCAUGGGCUCAGGUGGGGAGGCCACGCUUAAGUGGCCUGCAAGGUUUCUUUGAAGAUACAAAGGCUGCAAUUGAUGAAGGAGAGUUGGCAGCUGCAGAUGAGCUGGGUAUUUCAAAAAGAGAGUGAGAAGGCUCCAAAUUAGAGAUCUGUGGGUGAGGGGAAGCAAAAGGAUUGGAGAAGGAAACCGUCUUAAAAAUAUACAUUGGAAAAAUAAGUUUGUGUUUAUACAUUAUUUUCAUGGGGAAAAUGAAAGAUAGCAUCAUUUCCAAGGCUUAUAUUGCAGUUUGGGAGGUGAAGUAUCAGAAAAUAAAAUCUUUAUUAAACAAGGAACAUAGGAGACAGUUACAGCAUAUUGACAAAAAAACUUUGCUGCCAGGAGCCUGCCUGGUAGCAAUAUAAAAUUCUGGUUUUGUUUAACAAAAUAUUUUUUCAUGGAUCUAGAGGUUUGGACUACAACAGAUAGAAGAAACCAAAUCAUUUUCAAAGAUUGUCAAAUUUAGGGACAAAACAUUUUCCACAGAGGCUCGUUCAAUACCAAGCUGCAUCAUGGCACUCCUGCCCCUCUCACCCCACUGAACCAUAAUGGUGCUACAACCAUUCCUUGCUCUGUCUCAUUCUACCAGCCUCCACCUGCUGGGAUGCUGAAGGAUCUCCCUUAACUCUGCAGUGUUUUUCAGGGCUGUAAUGAGGUUCUGUAAGCCAAUGUGUACACGAGAUGAACAUAUGUACAUAUUUGUCACAGUCAGGCAUUCAGCUUUUUCAGUUUCAAUAGCAGUGGCUCCUCUUCUGUGCUUUCAGGCUUGUGUUACAGAUGAUGCACUCGCUUGUGGAAACAGCAGUGCCCAUAUAGCUCCACUGACUUCAGUUAAAGAAUGAAUGAAAAAGUUUGGGUUCCAUGUCAACCACCUGAAAAAAGUCCUCACUGUGCAUCCCUGUUGGGUGUUUUCUCUACUCAGGAAAAAGAAGUUGUGCAGGGAGGACUUUAUAGGAAGGUAGAUGUGCAUGUCCAGGAAUCACCUUAUUUUUCUCUGCUAGUUCUCGUCAGAUUUAAGUUAAAUUAGCAGUUAAGCUUACUAAGAUUUACUUGCUAAAAAGGAAUGAAAACAGUUUUAAGAGCGCUGGGAGACUUGUGUGGGAGGCACGGAUUUGGUAGAUUGAGCAAGGAGAUCACAGUCUGGAAAAGGAUUCUGGUAAAACAGCAGCAGGAGGAGGUAAUGUUAUCAUAAAUUCCCAAAUGAUGUUGGCCUCAGAAUUGUGUUUUAUUUCCCUAGCUGGUACUGGCGACAGAUUUUGAUGGUCAUCUGCCUUGAGCUGUGGCUAACCAAAGCCUGGUGUGAGUAGGAGAAAAACAGCUGUAGAGUUCAGGAAGACUUUUCAAUGUGAGAAGCUGGAGCUGUACAGCUACUGUUCAGGAGAGAAUAUACGUGCUUUUGAGCAGCCUCAUUAAAGUCACUGGGAGUGCUUACAACCUUAGCUGUUCAUCUGAAUCAACGCUUUUAGUGGUGACAGUGGAAAUACUGCUUUGAGCCAUAGAUCUGUUUUAUUUUUCAAACUCCUAUGCAAAAGAUCAUCUGUCCUCUUACUAAUUUUAUCCUUUGUGUUAGGUCACCCUGCUGCCUCCUGUGUUGUGAUGACACAGGCAGAGGAAGUCUUUCUUUCGCCUCUGUCUCUGGAGUCCUGGCAUCACCUUUGCUGACCUAUGCUUCAGCAUCCCCAGGGUAACAGGAUACAAUGAAAGAAGAGGAUACCAAGAGAGAUGUUGGAAAAUUGAGCCCUGAUGACCCUUCUCAGAACUUGAACCAAACAGUGCUUUCAGUAGAACAGCGUCUUCCUCUUUUGUGCCCAGGAUGAAGUCAAAGCCACCCACAGAAGGCCUGUAAUGCUUAUAAGUGAGUUUUGCCUGGACGGAAGCAAGCCACCAGAGCUUAUUUCUCAGAGAAGUCCUACGGUGCUGAAUGAAGGCUGUGACUGUUUUUGCUGUUUCCCCACCUACCGAUUACCUGAAAAGAUGAGAAAACAGAGCGUUGAACUCACCAAAAAGGAUUUCGGAAAUAGCUGCAAUUUGAAAGCUGUCCAGCAGAUGCUGCUGUUGGACAAAGAAAACCAAACGGCUCAAGCGAAGCCAACAGGAGACUCUUACAAAGCUGGAUGUUGGUUAAGGUGCCGAGGGGGCAGCCCUGCCCCAGCCUCUCUGACCAGCCAAGCCCGGCGUGCCCACACAGCAGCCCUGUGUCCUCUGUGCCCUCAUUCGUCAUCCACUGUGGUCACCGCCGCAUGCACAAGGGAGCUCAUGAGUUGUUCCUUUCUUCUUCCUGUUGAAGAGGUACAAGCUGCACAAAUUCCUUCAGUAAUAAUCACCUAAGGGAGAAUACAGUGACUGAUCUUGUCAUCAAACGCUCAGAGCCGAUGAUGGUAUCUGUUAUUUGUUUGGCUGUUCUUUUCUCUGUGAAGUUUAAACAAGAGUCAUAAGUCACAGGGAUAUGACAAGGAGCAGGUUGUUGUGUGUGGGCUCCAGCAACUGGCUGUUCUUGUCCAAAUGUACAGAUACACCCUGAUACUUGCUUAUCAACGACAAUCUGCUCAGAGCUUCAUGUUUUUCAGUUUUGUGGCAAGCUUGCAAGGUUACAUAUAUACACUGAAUGAAACAUACCCCACCGGUUAUUUUUAGAGAGGCUCUAAACAAGAAGCAAAUCCCUGGAGCAGUGCUGCCAGAGAUGCUUAAAGUUCAAAUCCAAAUUAAAACUGCCAAUCUUGGGCUUAAAUUCCAACCUGAACUUGAGGAAAACUGUGAUCUGUACCUUGAACUUUGUGACAGAAAGCGACUUCUAAGUGUUUUCUAAUGCCUGAGUGUGUAUGGAUAUGAUAAAGUCACUUAAAAUUAGAUAUUACAUGGAAAAUUUGAAUAUUUGGGAAUGUAGUACCUGAUCUUGCAAAAUAUUGUUGUAAGGCUUUAAUUCAUGGCAGCUGCAAUGGAAUCUGGAGAGUUUAAUUUAUUAGGACUCCCACUUCUAUUACAGCUUUGUAAGCUCUCAUCAUGUAAUUGUGAGGUAAAUAUGCUUAUUUACCUCACAGACCUUCUUCGUGAGGAGCACUGAUGUGUUAAGACUUGGUUUAGAAAUCACUAGGUUACCACAGGAAGAAAGUCAACCCCUUUUCAGCAAUGUCUUUGCACAAAUUAACUGAAAGUAGUGCAGCUGAAGCAGGUACUUGAUUUCUUUGCUGAAUCAGAGCCUGUAUCUUCUUCCUGCCAAGGCAGCGAUCUUAACAUCGUUCCUAAAUGCACCAGUAACUCUAGAAGCUCUAAUGAAAGUCAAGAUAAUGCCACAGAUUUUAUAAAUAAGGGUCUUUAUUUAGAAUACUGUUGAAAACAUUCUUGGCAAUCACAUCGUAUAAAUAUAUAAAGUUAAAGUUUGGCACAACAAACCAAGCAACAUUAAAUAUAUAUAUUCUUAAUUUUUCCUAUGUUUGUUUUGUUUUUAAUUUUA